rnacentral:sRNA from 1 species
GCUGGUCUUUUCGGAGACAUGUGCACACCUUGUCAUCUUUAUAUCUCCACCUGUGCACCUUUUGUAGACCUGGAUUCAACUUUCCGAGGAAACUCGGUUGUGAGGAAUUGCUUAAUAGGCUUUCCUUGUUAGUUUCCAGGGCUAUGUUUUCAUAUACACCUUAAGAAUGUAACAGAAUGUCAUUAUUAGGCUUAAUUGCCUUAUAAACUAUAUACAACUUUCAGCAACGGAUCUCUUGGCUCUCGCAUCGAUGAAGAACGCAGCGAAAUGCGAUAAGUAAUGUGAAUUGCAGAAUUCAGUGAAUCAUCGAAUCUUUGAACGCACCUUGCGCUCCUUGGUAUUCCGAGGAGCAUGCCUGUUUGAGUGUCAUUAAAUUCUCAACCUUUAUUAACUUUUUGGUUAGUAAGUGGAUUGGAAGUGGGGGCAUGUUGGUUUCUUCAUUGAAAUAAACUCCCCUGAAAUGCAUUAGCUGGUUGCCUUGUGCGAACAUGUCUAUUGGUGUGAUAAUUAUCUACGCCGUGGGCUAUUUGCCGUUUAUAGCACUGCUUAUAAUCGUCUGUUCAUUCAGACAAUAUAUGACAAUUUGACCUCAAAUCAGGUAGGACUACCCGCUGAACUUAAGCAUAUCAAUAAGCGGAGGAAAAGAAACUAACAAGGAUUCCCCUAGUAACUGCGAGUGAAGCGGGAAAAGCUCAAAUUUAAAAUCUGGCAGUCUUUGGCUGUCCGAGUUGUAAUCUAGAGAAGUGUUAUCCGCGCUGGACCGUGUACAAGUCUCCUGGAAUGGAGCGUCAUAGAGGGUGAGAAUCCCGUCUUUGACACGGACUGCCAGGGCUUUGUGAUGCGCUCUCAAAGAGUCGAGUUGUUUGGGAAUGCAGCUCAAAAUGGGUGGUAAAUUCCAUCUAAAGCUAAAUAUUGGCGAGAGACCGAUAGCGAACAAGUACCGUGAGGGAAAGAUGAAAAGAACUUUGGAAAGAGAGUUAAACAGUACGUGAAAUUGCUGAAAGGGAAACGCUUGAAGUCAGUCGCAUUGUGUGGGAAUCAACCUUGCUUUUGCUGGGCGUAUUUUCCAUAUGAUGGGUCAGCAUCAAUUUCGACCGUUGGAUAAAGUUCAAGGGAAUGUGGCAUCUUCGGAUGUGUUAUAGCCCUUGGUUGUAUACAACGAUUGGGAUUGAGGAACUCAGCACGCCGAAAGGCCGGGUCUCGUACCACG